CCAUGACCAAGCCCAGCGUCUUCCCACUGAGCGGCCCUCGAGACAAGUCAGCCAACCAAGUGAUCAUUGGCUGCCUGAUUCAGGACUUCUUCCCCUCGGGGCCUGUGACCGUGACCUGGGGCAAGAAUGGAGAAGGCGUGACCGUCAUUAACUUCCCGCCUGCCCAGGCCACAGGGGGCCUGUACACCAUGAGCAGCAAGCUGACCCUGCCAGCCUCCGAGUGCCCAGAGAACACAUCUGUGAAGUGCAGCGUGCAGCACACCUCRAACCCCACCCAGGAAGUGGAGGUGCCCUGUGAAGAAACUGUGGUGGUGCUCCCUCCCGUCUGCGGCCAACCCCGCCUCUCCCUGCUCCGGCCGGCCCUUGAGGACCUGCUCCUGGGCUCUGAYGCCAGCCUCACGUGCACACUGAGUGGCCUGAAGAGUCCAGACGGGGCCAGCUUCACCUGGCAGCCCUCAGUUGGGAAGAACGCUGUCCAGACGACUGGGCGAGACUCCUGCGGCUGCUACAGCGUGUCCAGUGUCCUGCCCGGCUGUGCCGAGCCCUGGAACCGCGGGGACAUCUUCACGUGCACAGCCAAACAUCCUGAGUCCAGCCAGACGCUGACAGCCACCGUCAGCAAAGCCACAGAGAACACCUUCCGGCCCCAGGUCCACCUGCUGCCGCCGCCGUCGGAGGAGCUGGCCCUGAACGAGCUGGUGUCGCUGACGUGCCUGGUGCGGGGCUUCAGCCCCGAGGACGUGCUGGUGCGCUGGCUGCACGGGRCCCAGGAGCUGCCCAGCAGCGAGUACCUGACGUGGAAGCCCCUGAAGGAGCCCGAGCAGGGCCCCACCACCUUCGCCGUGACCAGCGUGCUGCGUGUGACGGCUGCGUCCUGGAAGCAGGGGGACAACUUCUCCUGCAUGGUGGGCCACGAGACCCUGCCCCUGGGCUUCACCCAAAAGACCAUCGACCGCCUGUCGGGUAAACCCACCCACGUCAACGUGUCCGUGAUCAUGGCGGAGGCCGACGGCACCUGCUACUGAGCCGCCCGCCCCAGCCCUUGA